rnacentral:rRNA from 1 species
CAUGGCGGCAUGCUUACCAUGCAGUCGAACGGUGAAGGGACCAGCUUGCUGGUUCUGGAUGAGUGGCGAACGGGUGAGUAACACGUGAGUAACCUGCCCCCUUCUUCUGGAUAACCGCAUGAAAGUGUGGCUAAUACGGGAUAUUCUGGGUCUGUCGCAUGACGGGCCCGGGAAAGAUAUUGUUUCGGUGGGGGAUGGGCUCGCGGCCUAUCAGCUUGUUGGUGGGGUGAUGGCCUACCAAGGCGGUGACGGGUAGCCGGCCUGAGAGGGUGGACGGUCACACUGGGACUGAGACACGGCCCAGACUCCUACGGGAGGCAGCAGUGGGGAAUAUUGCACAAUGGGCGCAAGCCUGAUGCAGCGACGCCGCGUGAGGGAUGGAGGCCUUCGGGUUGUAAACCUCUUUCGCCAGUGAAGCAGGCCUGCUCCUUGUGGGUGGGUUGACGGUAGCUGGAUAAGAAGCGCCGGCUAACUACGUGCCAGCAGCCGCGGUAAUACGUAGGGCGCGAGCGUUGUCCGGAAUUAUUGGGCGUAAAGAGCUCGUAGGCGGCUGGUCGCGUCUGUCGUGAAAUCCUCUGGCUUAACUGGGGGCUUGCGGUGGGUACGGGCCGGCUUGAGUGCGGUAGGGGAGACUGGAACUCCUGGUGUAGCGGGUGGAAUGCGCAGAUAUCAGGAAGAACACCGGUGGCGAAGGCGGGUCUCUGGGCCGUUACUGACGCUGAGGAGCGAAAGCGUGGGGAGCGAACAGGAUUAGAUACCCUGGUAGUCCACGCCGUAAACGUUGGGCACUAGGGUGGUGGGGGGGCCUUUUCCGGGUCUUCCGCGCCGUAGCUAACGCAUUAAGUGCCCGCCCUGGGGGAGUACGGCCGCAAGGCUAAAACUCAAGGAAUUUGACGGGGC